rnacentral:ncRNA from 2 species
AAUAUAUAAUAGCCCGAGCCUAAUAGCCUAAGGGUUUUUCUAUGGUGUUAGGCCGUUUCAGUUUUACUGAAACCGGGGUGUGUUUAGAAAUGAACAUGCCUUCAGUAUACGAAAAGGAGGACAUAUCAAUGCAAA